rnacentral:rRNA from 1 species
AUACGUAGGUGGCGAGCGUUAUCCGGAAUUACUGGGUGUAAAGGGAGAGUAGGCGGCAUGAUAAGUUAGAUGUGAAAGCCUUGGGCUUAACCCGAGGAUUGCAUUUAAAACUAUCAAGCUAGAGUACAGGAGAGGUAAGUGGAAUUCCUAGUGUAGCGGUGAAAUGCGUAGAGAUUUGGAGGAACACCAGUGGCGAAGGCGACUUACUGGACUGUAACUGACGCUGAAGCACGAAAGCGUGGGGAGC